GAUGAACGCUGGCGGCGUGCCUAAUACAUGCAAGUCGAACGAGUUCUGAUUAUUGAAAGGUGCUUGCAUCUUGAUUUAAUUUUGAACGAGUGGCGGACGGGUGAGUAACACGUGGGUAACCUGCCCUUAAGUGGGGGAUAACAUUUGGAAACAGAUGCUAAUACCGCAUAAAUCCAAGAACCGCAUGGUUCUUGGCUGAAAGAUGGCGUAAGCUAUCGCUUUUGGAUGGACCCGCGGCGUAUUAGCUAGUUGGUGAGGUAACGGCUCACCAAGGCAAUGAUACGUAGCCGAACUGAGAGGUUGAUCGGCCACAUUGGGACUGAGACACGGCCCAAACUCCUACGGGAGGCAGCAGUAGGGAAUCUUCCACAAUGGACGCAAGUCUGAUGGAGCAACGCCGCGUGAGUGAAGAAGGCUUUCGGGUCGUAAAACUCUGUUGUUGGAGAAGAAUGGUCGGCAGAGUAACUGUUGUCGGCGUGACGGUAUCCAACCAGAAAGCCACGGCUAACUACGUGCCAGCAGCCGCGGUAAUACGUAGGUGGCAAGCGUUAUCCGGAUUUAUUGGGCGUAAAGCGAGCGCAGGCGGUUUUUUAAGUCUGAUGUGAAAGCCCUCGGCUUAACCGAGGAAGUGCAUCGGAAACUGGGAAACUUGAGUGCAGAAGAGGACAGUGGAACUCCAUGUGUAGCGGUGAAAUGCGUAGAUAUAUGGAAGAACACCAGUGGCGGAGGCGGCUGUCUGGUCUGUAACUGACGCUGAGGCUCGAAAGCAUGGGUAGCGAACAGGAUUAGAUACCCUGGUAGUCCAUGCCGUAAACGAUGAAUGCUAGGUGUUGGAGGGUUUCCGCCCUUCAGUGCCGCAGCUAACGCAUUAAGCAUUCCGCCUGGGGAGUACGACCGCAAGGUUGAAACUCAAAGGAAUUGACGGGGGCCCGCACAAGCGGUGGAGCAUGUGGUUUAAUUCGAAGCAACGCGAAGAACCUUACCAGGUCUUGACAUCUUUUGAUCACCUGAGAGAUCAGGUUUCCCCUUCGGGGGCAAAAUGACAGGUGGUGCAUGGUUGUCGUCAGCUCGUGUCGUGAGAUGUUGGGUUAAGUCCCGCAACGAGCGCAACCCUUAUGACUAGUUGCCAGCAUUUAGUUGGGCACUCUAGUAAGACUGCCGGUGACAAACCGGAGGAAGGUGGGGAUGACGUCAAAUCAUCAUGCCCCUUAUGACCUGGGCUACACACGUGCUACAAUGGAUGGUACAACGAGUUGCGAGACCGCGAGGUCAAGCUAAUCUCUUAAAGCCAUUCUCAGUUCGGACUGUAGGCUGCAACUCGCCUACACGAAGUCGGAAUCGCUAGUAAUCGCGGAUCAGCACGCCGCGGUGAAUACGUUCCCGGGCCUUGUACACACCGCCCGUCACACCAUGAGAGUUUGUAACACCCGAAGCCGGUGGCGUAACCCUUUUAGGGAGCGAGCCGUCUAAGGUGGGACAAAUGAUUAGGGUG
rnacentral:rRNA from 1 species